AUGCAGCAGUGCCUGGCCCGGGUUCGGGGGCCUCAGGUAGACCUUGGCUCCUCUGCCGUUCCAUCACAGGGGAGGGGGAGGUCCUGGAGGGGGAGGACCCAACCUUACCUGGAUGUCCCAUGUCUUAUAUAUUCUGGAAGUUGUGCAAAUGCAGGGAUGGGCAUAGAUAUUCUGCUGGGGUGGGGCUGGGUUGGUGCCCUCGGACUCCGUGAGGCUCUGUAAUGCUGCUGCUUUGGGCCCUGGCAGGAUGUGCUGGGGUCUCCAUGCCCUGGGUGGCAGUUUGACAACAGAGGUGCCUAUUGGGGCCAGUAGGGGAGCUGGCUCCCUGGAGGGCUAAGCCCAACCAGCCAUUCCUCCCCAUCCCCGCAUAUUUCUCUCCUCCUGCUCCCUCACAUCAUCACACAAACAUACACAUAGGACCUUGGGGGGUGGGCAAGUCAGGGAGUGCGGGUAUGGAUCCCAUUUCCGCAUUCCUGUGGCAACCUGCCCCCCAACUUUAUUUGCACCUUAUACACUUCCACUGACGACAUUCCACACAAACACACACUUAGGGCCUUGGGAGUGAGCACAUUCAACGGCAUUUGGCAGGGGGAUAUCUCAGCCUCCUCCCGGGUGCCGGUGCCCACUUCCAAUUUUAAACCGCACUUAAGCCCCAUUCCCACCUGUACCGGGUCGGCCCGGGCCAGGUAGCGUAGGUUGUUUACAUAUCUGGGUGGCCUGGAAUUUUCCCGGGCCAACCAAGGCUCAUUCUCGGCCCUCUUCCCGAGGGGUACUGCUUCAGGCCGACCAGGGCCAACACGCCCACUGCUGACAGCAAAUUCACACCUUCCAUUAGAGCAAGCCUCUGAUUGGUGGGUAGAAUCAGCCCAUUCACACCUUCCAUUAGAGCAAGCCUCUGAUUGGUGGGUAGAAUCAGCCCAUUCACACCUUCCAUUAGAGCAAGCCUCUGGUUGGUGGGUAGAAUCAGCCCACAUGGGCUUAAGGCAAGGAUGUGUGGAAUCAACCGGGCCAAGCUGGGGCCGACUGGGGCUACCCGGCCCGGGCCGACCCGGUACAGGUGGGAAUGGGGCUUUAGACACAGAGGGCUGAGGGUGUAAGUGGGGUGGUGCGGUGGCAUCAGCUGGCAUAGGCCGGAUGAUGCCCACACUGCCCGCUCACCACAGCCAUGGAAUACAGCUCAUAAUCACACAACACUAUAUUGGAGCAGGCGGAGGGAGACUAGGGGUCUUAGCCACUUCUGUUGUUGCUAGGCUUCCUGGGGCUGGAGGCUAGGAGGGAGAUCUGGCCAUCUGGUUGGGGUCUGGGGUGGUAGGUUGCUGUGCUCAGCUUUGGGCGGGGGAGCCUGUUCAUCAGCACCCCAGCAGAAAGGGUCAAACUCUGGUUACCGGUGACGGUUGUACCCCAUGUGCAGCAGUACCGGGACCAGAGUGAAUAGGGUGUGUAUGGAGAGCAUGAGUGGGUGUCCGGCGUGCAUUUUUGUAAGUCUUGGGUUGUAUGUGCAUGUGUGAGCAUGAGGGAGGGAGUGUGUGACUGUGUUUGCUAGAGGUGUGAAUCUUCACUUGUCUCCCAAUUCGAUUCGAUUACGAUUAUUGGGUCAACGAUUCAAUUUGAUUCGAUAUCCCGAUGCAUCACGAUUAUUUCAUAUUGAUUUGUUUUCAUCGAUAAAUAGAACAUGUCAGAUAAUUGCUUUUUUUUAAAUCAAAAACGUAAUUGAUACAACCUGUCAGCCCUCAAAAGCUCUCCAUUCACAACAGGUUAGGACAAAACAUUUUAAACAUUUAAGAAGAUUUAACAAAGCAAAACAUCUGUUUCCUCUUUCAACACCACGCCUCAAGCUGAGAAAACACGCUUUACAAAAUCUCACAAAAUCUAAAAAAGUACUGAAAACCCACAGGACACAACAUAAUGUAAUAAUCAGAUACAAUAAUGGGUUCAUAUAUGAGUGUUUAAUGUCUCUGAGCAGCUCUAGAGUCAGAUAUUCAUGCCACAGUUGAAGGGUGUCAGAAAUAACACCAAAUGAAAUGUUUGACUUAGUUUAUUUUAUUUGAACCCAGUGGUUCGUUUCUGAAAUGUUGGAGAAUGAAUCAAGUUCUGUUUGAUGCAGAAAAUAAAACAUAAAACAAAUUCUACACUUCCAAUAAUAUUUAAGAUGUGUGUUUUAUUCUUUCUGAUAAUAACACCAGCAGAAGGCUGUGGGCUGGAUUAGGAUUAAAUUACCCAGGUGAUGGAUCUCCUUCACUAACCAGCUAACUACAAACCUUUCCACUGACCUGUCCUGUGUGACCCUCACCAUGUAACCCUCAUGUCCAUUCGGAGGAGCAGAUAGAGACAAGACCUCCUGUAACUUAAAAUGAACCAAAGCUUCCUCCCAGUUUUUUAAAAUAGAAUUUAACAUCAGUUUAUCAUCAUGAAACAAAAGAAUAAAGUGGAACAAGAACUUCUUUCUUCUAUUUCUCUCUCCUUUUAAUUUCUCCGUGUCCCAAAAUAAAAUACAGACGAUCACGCUGCAGCCGCCGUCAUUGACCCCGCCCCCUCCCCAAGACCGGAUCUCCCUACAUUACAACAAGCAGUCUGACUGAGCGCUUCCAGGAGAAAUAAUAAUUAAAUUAUGAAAAUAAUAAUGCGUGUUUGGAGCAUCAGUUUGGAGGGGCGUCCUCCGAUCCUCUCGUGUGAGCAGUCCCCCCCCCCUCCCCCCUCUCAGUUGCUGUGCGAGCGGAGCGCGCCGCAUGACAACCCGCUCAGUUAAAGGCACAGUCUGCAAGAUUUAAAUGUAGAAUAACUUUAAAAAUGUUUUAUUUUGACCAUCUGACCCAAUUUUAUUAAAAAAAGUAAAUAAUAUUUAAUAUUUCAAUUUUCUCCUAAGUCCCUCCCCUGCCCUGUAGAGCUCAGCCAAUAUUUCUGCAAGCCUAACGCGUUGACCAAUAGCGCUGCGUUUCCACCAGGGGGCAGCUGUCAGUCAUCGAGCACGAGCAUUAGAUCUCAGCGUGCACAACAGUGUCACGCGCCUCACUCGGCUUACUGCAGAAACAUGGAGCAACAAAACCCCAAAUUACCGAUUCCUCGACUGCCUUCCACAUCUCAAAAAACAUUUAAAAAGUUUAAAAGCCCUUCUUCAAAAGUGGUUGUAAGACGUUUGAGACAGUUGAGUAGAAUUAACAUUGGAGAUUGUUUUAAACGGUGGAGAGAUUUUCGUGAUCUACACGGCCUGAAAACGGAUGAAGAGUUGGCAAAGUAUCUUUUAGACAGGUAAGUUAUUUAUUGUUUUUCGGAUACAUUUACUUCAAAUCUUUCUUUCACUGAAAGAAGUAAUAGAGCAAACCAGCUUUGUAUGCUUGGUGUCCUAUUGGCUAAUGUAGCAUUAGCUUGAAUGCUAAGUCGACAUGAAUCGAUGCUAGUCGAACAAUUAAUGCUAUUUUUUGAAGAAGUUUGAGUAACGAAAGGGGAUUUUAGUUUUUUUUAUAUGGGAGCUAAUGAUUAGUGUGGCGUUUAACUAUAGGCCAUAUCAUUGUAUUGUUUUAAGCUCUUGUUUAUAACUUCCCCGUUAGCAGGGUUCAGUUAGCAUCUUGAAUGCUGAAUUAGAUGUUUACACUUUCCUGAGCUGCGUGUUUGAUUAAAAUGAGUAAUCAGCAGCUCAUGUAGCACUUGUAGAAGUCUGAGGAGAUGAUUCAGCAGUUAGAAUUAGGUGUGAUUGAUCAGGAACGUAUCCAAAACCUUACGUUUCCAUUAGCACCGAAGGACAUAUUGUGCUAACCUGGGUGGGCCACGUGUACAGAUUACUGUCUGAGUUUGUGGUCUUACCUACGUGAAAACUCCAUAUUAAAAUAAAAGGAAUGAUAAUCAGCUCGUGCAAAAAUCUGUGAAGGCUGGGGAGACUUGUUUAGCUUGUGAUCACUAAUUUUUGGGCUUUGUUUUUGACAGUCAUCAGUCCAAAUAUGAGGCAUCAACAUCUACACCAUUGAAGCGCCAACUGUUUAUUUCUCCAACACCAGUGCCAGCUCUGUCUAGCAUUCAUGGAGAGUCAUCUGAAAGGGAUGAUAAUUUGGAGGAGGUGAUGGAACAAGGUGAAACUAAAAAAGAAGGAUCUUCACAAAUGUAAGUACAAGGUUGUAUCUGUAUUUGGCUGUCACAUUUGUCAGGAAAAGUAAACAAUAAUUAUUUUUUUAGGGUUAUCUUGUGUGGGAAUUGAAGCAAACAUUGAUGAGGAAGAGUUCAACAAUAUUCAAAACUCUGUGAUAGAUUCAUCAGAUGACACAUGGUCACCAAACAGAGAGCCAGAAGUUGAUUCGUCUUCAGAGGAGGACAAAACCAUCGAGAUGGACAGCGGUACUGAUGACAGCGGUGAUGAGGACUACACACCUUAUACACACAUAAGGACUGGAGCGGCAUUACAAAAAACAUUACAACUUGAGACUCUGCAAGAAAUUAACAUUGUGGAUACAGUUCAUGACUGUAAUAUCCCAGAAGCAACUGAUGCAACACCUGUACCAGAUAAAGUAGUGGUCAACAUUCCUGGAGACAUAAUUGGUCAACCGGUUUCCAUGGUGUACCACAAGUGUAUGCAGCAGCUUGCAGAGUUCCUUCUCUUGCCAGUCCAAGUAUGUACGGAGAAAGACCCACAAACAUCUGAGGAAUGUGGUGCCUCUGCACCAUUCAUUAUCAACAUUUCUUCACGAGGAACAGCUAUGAUUGUCAAAUGGUGUUGUCCCAAGAGCCACGUUGUUUGGCAGUGGAAUUCUCAGCCAACGUUCAAAUUUGGGAUGCAAGCUGGAGAUUUUAUGCUCUCUUCAAAUAUACUCCUGUCAGGCAACAAUUUUGCAAAAAUUGCCCUCAUGUUUAAAUACAUGAAUAUGGGCAUGGUGACCCGCAACACUUUUUUUUUCAGUCCAAAAUGCAUAUUGUGUGGACACCAUAAAAGAAUACUGGACUGAAAAAAGGACAGAUAUUAUUUCUGAGGUGAAAGAAAGAGGACAUGUUGUUGCACUAGGUGAUGGGAGAAUGGAUAGUCCUGGCUUCUGCGCACAGUACUGUACAUACACUUUGAUGGACAAUGAUACCAGAAAAAUACUCUCCAUUGAAAACGUCGAUAAGAGAGAAACUCAGAGGAGUUCUACAAUAAUGGAGAGGGAGGCUUUCAUCAGAAGUGUUGACAAGGUUAGCCAAGAAGUGAAACUAUCAGAAGUUUGCACUGAUGCCCAUUCACAAAUAUCUGCUCUUUUCCGUAAGUAUAACACAGUUUUGCACAAAACACACAUCUUUAACCAUUAUUAGUAUUGCCUUACAGUUCAUUUUAUCUGUGUCAGGAAAAGGAAAGUACAAAGACAGUGGAAUUGAGCACACCUAUGACAUGUGGCAUGGUGCAAAGAACCUGAGCAAAAAAAUACAUGCGGCAGGUCAGCAAAGGGGAUGUUCCAUUUUAUUACAGUGGAACAAAGAUAUCUGUAACCAUUUUUGGUUUUGCUGCAAGUCGGCGAACACUUAUGAUGAGUUUUUUGUAAGUACAUUAUUUGUAUUUUCAUAUAAAAAAAAGUGAAUGUAACUAAUCGCCACAUGUCUUUUAGGACAUGUGGAUCGGUCUACUCCAUCAUGUUACUGGAGAACAUGAGUGGUCUCUGGAUGCUUGUCAGCAUGAUCCUUUACUAAGUGACAGAGAGAAAGACUGGAUUCAGAAAGGCUCCACUCCUCACAAAGCCCUCAGUGACAUCAUUCUCAGUGAACGCUGGCUGAAAGAAGUCCCAAAAUAUUUGAAAUUCAGCAAAUUUGGAGGCGUUUCACAACCAUCUCCUAAUGUAUGCAAGCAAAAGAUUCAGUUACAUCCCACCUGUUUACGAGGCACGGAUACUGCUUGCUGCACUGGACUACAAACACCACUCACAUCGAGAAGUGAAGAGGAGAGCAGAUGGAUCGAUACAAUACCAUAAAAUAUUCAACAAAAAAUCAAGAUGCUGGAGGCUGUAUUCUGAGAAGGUGGCAAAAGACUACUCCUACAUCCCAGAGAUCCAAACCAUGAUCGUCAACCAACGUUUGACAAGCAAGAAAGAUCUUCCUUGACGCUACAAGCUAAGGCCUGAGGAUCCAAGGCGUUACGGUUUGCUGUCCGAAGUCCCUGCACCAUCAACAGAGGAACUUCUACAACACCUACGGACUCGCGGUGAUGGUAAAACUUUGCCACAGACAUAGGUGUUGGGGGAGGCAAGAGAAAACCCAAAACCUUCUUUAUUUUUGUUUCCUGUGUUUUAUUUAUUUAUUUUUUUUAAAUAAAGAUAUAUUUUGGGGAAAUAAGGACUAAUAAUUUAAAAAUGUAUGUAAAAUGUUGGAGGUAGACAUAAGUUUUUGUUGUUGUGCAGGAGUUAUAACACUUAUGGUAUUUUUACAAAUGCAACAGAGAGUUAUGCUUUAUAACACUUUAUUAGAGCAUCAAACAAAACUAUAUAAAAAACAAACUUAUGUAAAACAUCAAAUAUAUACAUUUAUUUACAAUCGUCUUGGGAUAAAACCAGUGUAGUUACCAUUGGGGUCAGGGAAUUUUUCCCUUAUCCUCCAGACAACGCAGCUUGGGAUUUCUACUCUGCGUCCUCCACCAAGUUUUCCAUGCUGCCAUGCUACAAACUGUCUGUAAGCUGCAUGGCGGAACUGUCUGUUGUCCUCACCAGGGUCCGGGUCAUCAUAAACUGCUCGAAACUCAUUCCACAAUGUUCUGGCCAGGCGAAGAACACCAUUUUGCAAAAAUAAACUCCUCCAUGUGUGGUACAGUUGAAAUACAUGUCUGGGGAGGCUGUUGGCAGCAUUUCUUUUCCAAAUCAGUUGGCAUAUCUCUGCAGUGGGAGCAUACACACCAUGAAGGUUGAUUGAAUGUUGAGGUGUUGUGGCAGGUGGACCAGAGAGGGCAAGUACAUCAAAGAGAACACCAGUGUCUGUCCAGCACCAUGGUAAGGAUGUCAAUAGCCUGCUGAGGGUUCAGGUUCUGUAUGCGUUGCUACAAAAGUGGAAAGAGAUGCUACAGCAACAGUUUUUAGGAUCAUUUAGUGUAAUUUUGUUAUGCUUACACGUUCAAAGUCUAUUCGCUCGGAACGAAGAUUCUGAACUCGAGAGAGAUCUUCAUCUCCAAGGUCCACAGCUGAGUGUCUCGCACUUCUUCGGCCUCUGGAUGCACCGCGGCCUCUAGACACACCACGGCCUCUGGAUGCACCACGGCUUUGAGAUGAUGAUCUUCCACAGCAUCAUGUCUGGGAAAAGGAGAAGGAUUUGACUGCCCAGCAGCUCUUUAACCAGGAGUCGAUCUCCUGUUCAGACCAGGAAGAACCAGAACAGCUAAAACUUUGCCAACAUGAAGGACAGCUCUUCCUGAACCAGGAAAAUCUUACCUUCACGGAUACUC